rnacentral:rRNA from 1 species
AUUGAACGCUGGCGGCAUGCCUUACACAUGCAAGUCGAACGGCAGCACGGGUGCUUGCACCUGGUGGCGAGUGGCGAACGGGUGAGUAAUACAUCGGAACGUACCUUAUCGUGGGGGAUAACGCAGCGAAAGCUGUGCUAAUACCGCAUACGCCCUGAGGGGGAAAGCGGGGGAUCGCAAGACCUCGCGCGAUUAGAGCGGCCGAUGCCUGAUUAGCUUGUUGGUGGGGUAAAAGACCACCAAGGCGACGAUCAGUAGCUGGUCUGAGAGGACGAUCAGCCACACUGGAGCUGAGACACGGACCAGACUCCUACGGGAGGCAGCAGUGGGGAAUUUUGGACGAUGGGGGCAACCCUGUUCCAGCAAUGCCGCGUGAGUGAAGAAGUCCUUCGGGUUGUAAAGCUCUUUUGUCAGGGAAGAAACACCGGCUCUAACACAGUCCGGGAAUGACGGUACCUGAAGAAUAAGCCCCGGCUAACUACGUGCCAGCAGCCGCCGUAA